rnacentral:lncRNA from 1 species
GAGGAUUUUGGGGAUUUUUGGGAAUUUUUUGGGGGGAAUUUUGGGAAUUUUUGUGAAUUUUUUGGGGGGAAUUUUGGCCGUUUUUGGGGUGAUUUUGUGGGGAUUUUUGGCCAUCCCAGAAUUUAAAUGAAUUUUAACCCUUCCGUGGCCGGGAAUCCCGGGGGAAUCCCUGGAAUUCCGGGAAUUCCGAGCCAUUCCCAAAGCUUUUCCCGGUUUUUCCCCCCAGGUCUCGGCCCGGGAGCGCCGGGAGCGGCUCCAGGAGAAAUCGCGGCUGAGCCGGAGCCUCCUCCCGCUGCUGCCCCAGCUCCUGGAAAAGUUCUCGGCCGAGCCCGAGGCGGUGGCGGCGCUGCUGGAGCUGCUCCCGCACCUGGAGCUCGGAAUGUUCCGGACGGCGCGGCUCGACAAGGUCCUGGAUCGGGUUCUGGAGCGGAUCCUGGAGCUGUUCCGCUGCCACUCGGAGCCGGUUCCGGUUCCCCUGAUCCCAUCCCAGUCUAUCCCAGUUUAUCCCAGUUUAUCCCAGUUUAUCCCAGUCCAUCCCAGUCCAUCCCAGUUUCCAUUCCCA